GUGGGGAAUAUUGCACAAUGGGCGAAAGCCUGAUGCAGCAACGCCGCGUGAGUGAUGAAGGCCUUCGGGUUGUAAAGCUCUGUCUUUUGGGACGAUAAUGACGGUACCAAAGGAGGAAGCCACGGCUAACUACGUGCCAGCAGCCGCGGUAAUACGUAGGUGGCAAGCGUUGUCCGGAUUUACUGGGCGUAAAGGAUGCGUAGGCGGAUUUUUAAGUGAGAUGUGAAAUACCCGGGCUUAACUUGGGUGCUGCAUUUCAAACUGGAAAUCUAGAGUGCGGGAGAGGAAAGUGGAAUUCCUAGUGUAGCGGUGAAAUGCGUAGAGAUUAGGAAGAACACCAGUGGCGAAGGCGACUUUCUGGACCGUAACUGACGCUGAGGCAUGAAAGCGUGGGUAGCAAACAGGAUUAGAAACCCUAGUAGUCC
rnacentral:rRNA from 1 species